GACAUCAUUAAGUAUUUCUAGAAGCAUUUCAGAUUUUCAAACACCAGACUACUGACACUGCCAAACACUGACUACAACUGAUCUAAAAUCUGAAACACCAGACACAAAGAAACAUGCCUAUCAAAGUUUCUUUUUUUUUGUUUGUUUGUUUUUUUGCCCCCCCCCCACAAGAAGGAAAAACUCCAACCAUGGCCACUAUGGUUAAUAGUAAAUGUUUAAGCCAUAUGGGUGGGGUGUUUAAUAAGAUUUUUGCAUUUGCUAUUUACUUAUUUAUUUAGAGAGUGUAUGUGAGCCUGCAGAGGUCAGAUAGCCUCAAACAAAAAUAGAAGCUUGACUUUCUCAGGAUCAAAGAUGAAGCUCUCCAGGAAAACCAUUUGCCUGAGGAGACUUGUGAGAAAGGCUGGGUCUCUUCUCCCUGGAUAAGGCCUUUUAGCUGGAGGGAAACUCGCCCUGUCCGUUUAUAAUGCCCGAGGGUUCCAGUGCCUUGUGAUCUGUCUAGAAAAUCAAGUUCUCACUGUGUGGGCUAUUGCUAGUCUAGUAACCCUGACUUUCCAAACUUCCAAAACAUGCUUGAACCGUAAAUCAACAUGUAAACCGAAUUAAAGCAAAAAGUUUGAUUAUGACACAGAACUCUGCAAGGCACCCCAGGACUCAGCAUCUUUGGGGCUCCUACUUGCCAAUUUUCAUCUGGUUCAUCGAGUUAUCAAACAGCUGUUGUUAUUUGGAACUAAUUAUGUAUUAGGUUUUUUUUUCCCUGCAAAAUUGGUGCUUUUAAAUCAUUAAGUUUCCAGAGCACGAAAUCAGAGCUCAACUUUUCCAUAUUAACCAGUAUGGGCCCUUGGAACAUGCACACGAGCUUGCCCCACCCAACAUGCCGGCCUCCAUUCAAGCACAUGAAAGGCGGACAGAUAUCUGUUAAUUAGCAGGCAACAAGAGGAAUUCUAACGAGAGCCUUCAGGAACAAUUUACUGUUCUCCUUUCUGUUUUGAAGAUGGUCAUGUGAUUUUCUUUUCUUUCCUUUUCUUUUUUUCCACCCUCAGCUGAUGGGAAUCAUCCACACAUGGUGAGGGUCUCUGAGAUUGGCUUUCUGAUACUAAAACGACCGGGAGUCGGGUGGGGGAGAGCACUCGGCUACAAAUCCUGAUACUUUUGUAGGAAGCUGAAGGAAGAUUUAAAACUGGGCUUGCACAUUAAAUUCCAACCAGCCCCUCUACGCAUUUAUCCCAUCAAAGGAUUUUACCUCUGUUUUUAUUUUUCACGUUAAAAGAGCUUGAUAUCUGAAGAUUUGCUAUUUGACUGCGGUAGUGCCAACCCCAAGAACAUACAGAAUUGGUGGUCAGUGGGUCCCCAAAGGCAGCUGGAAAGUUUUGCCUGCCAGGUCACUCCCUGCCUUCACCAGGACUGCUUUUAACGUUAAUGACUCUCAGAGAACAGCUACCCAGCCAAGCAUGAAAGCUGUGGGUUCACUCGGCUCCCAAGCUCACAGAAACCUUGAGAUUCCAGCCUUCAUCAAACAGAAGUUUGGGCUCUGGCACUUGCCCAAAGUUUGGACUUAAUGCUCCCUCCCUCUAACUCCUCCCAUUGUGGGGGAGGGAGGCUUCUGAAUUCACACACACACAAUAAGCAUGCUAAUCAAGUCCGCAGCCUCUCCUGGAAAAGCUGCAGCACGCAACAGUAUAUUUAAUAUUGCACAUAUUCAUUCGGCAAAGAAUAAAAGUUUAAAUUGAGUUAAACCAGAACUUUCCAAACUUAGUAGACCACUGGUAGCUAGCAUGUUUAUGAACACUUCUUGAACUCACAUUGAGUGGCACUGGUCUUGAAUCUGUUUCUCUCAUAUGGUGCCUCACUACAGGUACCCUUACUUAUUUCUUCAUUAACUCAGGAGACAGCGUCCAUCUCCAGCUCCCACUUUUCUUGUGGGCCCUUUGCUUGAAUUCAUUUGUUGAAAGCUACCACUAUACUAUCUCUCGAGAGCUUUAGCCAGUACAUACUGAAGGUCCUCACAGGGGAGACUAUUUCCCUGAGAAAAACAUUUGCAAAGUUAAUUGCAUGAACUUACAAGUAUACAAAACUUCACAAACACCUUCGGGAGAGUUCGUUUCAUAACAGGACGUGCGUGCGUGCGUGCGUGCGUGCGUGCGUGCGUGCGUGCGUGCGUGCGUGCGUGCGGCUGGGACUAGAACCAUGGCCUUUGCGCAUGCUCAGCCAGCGCUCUAUCUACCAUGAAGCUAAGUUGUCUGCUGUUGAAUAUUUUUUAAAAAAUUAGUAAUUGUAUUUUCUAGAAUUUGCUGUAAUCAGAACAUGAUAACUAUGUGGUCUUAGAGUUCAAUUAAAAUUUUAACUAAUUCUAAUUAC